rnacentral:lncRNA from 10 species
AGAGCCCUGCCACCCCAGCUUGAGCGUGGUCUUUGGAGCGUUGCCCUGUGAAAAGGGGUGACUUUGCCAUGCUCCUUCCCAGUCUACCUCCUGUUAGUUACAGUUUCUCAUUCCUCUUGAGUAGCAGGCCCUGUUUCUCCACCUAAUCCCUGCAAGUAAACCGUCCCCCAAAUCAAAAUGAGUUCCAUCUGGAACUUUGUAGGAUUGGUCCUAAGAAGAUCCCGCCGAAUCUCUUCACCACUUCCUAGCAGAGCACAGUAAAACCGGGGACUAAGCAAAGUGGCUGACAUGUAGUAAGUGCUCAAGAAAUGGAUGUUGACUAGAUGCUACCUCUCAUCUUUGCCUGUCUGAACUCUCAAGCACCGGAUGCAAGUAGACUGAGAGCCUCCGCCAACCAAUUACCCAUGUGGCUCACCAGAGGGCAGUGUGCAGUAAUCAACUCUUUUGCUUCCUGCAUUGGAUGUCUCCUAUGGAAAAACCAAUGUCAAAUAAUCAGAACCAG